CUCGGCUCCGCAGCCGGGCCCCGAGCGAGCUCCGCGAGUCCUGGCGAGAGCCGAGGGCUCCCCGGGUUCAAAGGGCCGCAGCCCCGAGGGAACGCCCUCCUUGCUGUGCCCCGGGGGGCAGAAGCGGACUGCUGGGCGGUGGGACCGGCCUGGGCCACGGAACAGAUGUGGACUUGGGCUGUCCACCCCCACCCACUCUUGCUGAGGUGUCUCACUACUGCCCAGACAUGUGAAUUCAUGUGAGAGCUGGUAUGAGUUGUGGUCACAGGACAAAGGAGGCUAACCGGGCAUGAUUCUCAACUUUGGCUUCAAUCAUGCCAUUUUCUACCAACUAAGCCUCUAGAGUCAAACUUGAAGAACUAUCACGUGGAACUCUUGAAGAAUGGACUUUCUUUCCACAGUGAAUACUUCAUUGAUUUUCGCUGGUUCCCUGAAUAAAGCAGCAACAAACCCACCACCUAUUUACUGAAGGCUCUGCUUCAGCCACUAUGUCAAAUGUGUUACACUCUUUAACUAACUUAAAUAUUGUCUAUAACCCUUUGGGUGGUGUUGUUUCUGUUUCAUGGAUGAAGAUGAAGAUAUUGACACUUCGAGGUUACAAAACUAUCACCAUCAUUAACAGCAACAAUGGUGCUUAGCUCUGAUUGAGAACUUACUCUGUUCCUAAAACAUGGAAAGCAUGUCACAAAUCUUCAAACAACUGGGUAAGCAUGUCACAAAUCUGCAAACAAGUUUGUAAAAUAAAGACUAUUAACAUUCCCAUUUUACAGAUGAAGAAACUGAGGCCUAGAGAAUUAAUGAUGUGCCCCAUGUCACAGAAUGCAGUAUAGAGGUGGAGGAGGAGUUAGCUUUACUCCAAAGUCUUUUAUCUUCAUUGCUAUAAUUUCUGGCAGUGUAGCAGAGUAAAAAUGAACUAAAAAUUAAUGUCAGGUUUAUACAAAUUAUUUUAUUAAGAAAAGAGGCCAAGUGUGGUGGCUCAUGCCUAUAAUCCCACCACUUGGGGAGGUUGAAGUGGGUGGAUCACUUGAGGUCAGGAGUUCAAGACCAGCCUAGCCAACAUGGUGAAACCCCGUUUCUACUGAAAAUACAAAAAUUAUCCAGGUGUGUUAGUGCACAACUGUAAUCCCAGCUACUCGGGAGGCUGAGGUAGGAGAAUCGCUUGAACCGGGGAGGCAGAGGUUGCAGUGAGCCGAGAUAGCGCCACUGCACGCCAGCCUGGGUGACGAGCAAAAACUCCAUCUCAAAAAAAAAAAAAGAAGAAGAGAAGAAAAAUGUUAGGACAAAGGAGAAGAACUCUAAAAUCUUAUGACUGGAAGCUUAUAAAUUAUAAGUAUUGAAAAAUUAAACAUUCCUAAUAACUACAGAUAUCCAUAAAAAGUUGCCCAAAAUUAAGGGCAAAUUUCUUCAGUGUCAGCAAUACUGACAGCAUUAGUUUCAUGGUCACAGAGAUUUUUGUUAUUAUUGUUAACAUAUUCCAAAAUUUAACACAAAUUUAAUCCAUGUGAAAGUAGAGCUUAGACAAUAAAAGAUAUCAGACCUUGGGGUAUUACAAUGACUUUUUAAAAAAGCUUAUUAUCAUAUAUUUCAUUAUAAUAACAGGACGCCAAAACCAUUAGCAUGAAUAAUAACCUGAGAUUGUAAGGAUUAUGUGUAAAUGUGAAAGAAGAGAUAAUUAUGUUUAUAUAUCUAAUGGUCACCCUUAGGUAUUAUGUGAUAACAUGUGGCCUUAUCCACUGAGGACAAGAGGGCCAUUUCCUACCUUGGAUUAGGCAUUCCCAGGGCGAUUCUUACAGUUACCUCUUCUUUCUGUUCAGUAUUUAAGCACUGUUAGUUCAUCUGAGGGAAUGAAAAUAAAGAUACUUUCUUCAAGAAAAAUGAAUGAAAAUAUUGCUGAUUUAACCAUGUGCGAAAAACCUCAUUUAAUUUUAUUUGUUGAGAUUGAUAUGAGCAUUUUAAG
rnacentral:lncRNA from 1 species